rnacentral:lncRNA from 1 species
AUGUAAUAUAUUUCCAAUUUACUGAUUUAAAGGCGUAUGGAUUUAAUUUUUAAAUACACUUUCAAAGCUGUUAUGCACAGUUCCAUAGUCCAGGUGGUCAAUUUCUUCUUCUCAAAGUUGCAAAGCACUUGAAGGACAUGGGAAUCCAAAGAAACGCCUGUAAUCCCAGCACUUUGGGAGCCUGAGGCAGACGUAUCAACUGAGGUCGAGAGUUUGAGACCAGCCUGAUUAACACGAAGAAACCCCAUCUCAGGAUCCCUUGAACCCGGGAAGCGGAAAUUGCAGUGAGCCAGGAUCGUGCCAUUGCACCACAGCCUGGGCAACAAGAGUGAAACUCCAU